AAAUAUGGUGAGGGAAUUUCCUAAUCAUUUCUUUAAAUCUCUCCCAGCUUUCAUAUAUUGAUUCUCCCUCAAAUUGGGUGAAAGAUGUCAUAUCAUUCUUAAGUUU